rnacentral:rRNA from 1 species
AGUGAACGCUGGCGGUAGGCCUAACACAUGCAAGUCGAACGGCAGCACAGAGGAGCUUGCUCCUUGGGUGGCGAGUGGCGGACGGGUGAGGAAUACAUCGGAAUCUACUCUGUCGUGGGGGAUAACGUAGGGAAACUUACGCUAAUACCGCAUACGACCUACGGGUGAAAGCAGGGGAUCUUCGGACCUUGCGCGAUUGAAUGAGCCGAUGUCGGAUUAGCUAGUUGGCGGGGUAAAGGCCCACCAAGGCGACGAUCCGUAGCUGGUCUGAGAGGAUGAUCAGCCACACUGGAACUGAGACACGGUCCAGACUCCUACGGGAGGCAGCAGUGGGGAAUAUUGGACAAUGGGCGCAAGCCUGAUCCAGCCAUACCGCGUGGGUGAAGAAGGCCUUCGGGUUGUAAAGCCCUUUUGUUGGGAAAGAAAUCCAUCUGGUUAAUACCCGGGUGGGAUGACGGUACCCAAAGAAUAAGCACCGGCUAACUUCGUGCCAGCCGCCGCCGUAA